rnacentral:misc_RNA from 1 species
UAUCCGUAGGUGAACCUGCGGAAGGAUCAUUAACACAAAGCCACAUCUAAGCCAUUGUUCACUGUGCGGUCUAUUAAAAAAGCCUUAUAUACGUUCGUUACAGCAUUCUUUCUUUUUUUUUUUAAACUUUGUAACCGUUUAAUUACUGGUUGAAAUGAUCAUAUUUCUUACUCUUCGGGGAACAAGUUUUAUUACGACCCAAAGAACACUUCUUAGCAAAGGAUAUCUUGGUUCUCGCAUCGAUGAAUAACGCAACACAUCGGAAGACCCCACGUCAUU